rnacentral:rRNA from 1 species
CAGUAGCCGCGGGAAUACGAACCGUGCGAACGUUAUUCGGAAUCACUGGGCGUAAAGCGUGCGCAGGCGGUUCUAUAAGACAGAUGUGAAAUCCCCGGGCUCAACCUGGGAACUGCAUUUGUGACUGUAGAGCUGGAGUGCGGCAGAGGGGGAUGGAAUUCCGCGUGUAGCAGUGAAAUGCGUAGAUAUGCGGAGGAACACCGAUGGCGAAGGCAAUCCCCUGGGCCUGCACUGACGCUCAUGCACGAAAGCGUGGGGAGCAAACAGGAUUAGAUACCCCGGUAGUCCCUGUCUCUUAUAA